UACGGGGGGAGCAAGCGUUGUUCGGAUUUACUGGGCGUAAAGGGCGCGUAGGCGGCCACCGCAAGUCAAUUGUGAAAUCUCCGGGCUUAACUCGGAAAGGUCAACUGAUACUGCGGGGCUAGAGUGCGGAAGGGGCAACUGGAAUUCUCGGUGUAGCGGUGAAAUGCGUAGAUAUCGAGAGGAACACCUGCGGCGAAGGCGGAUUGCUGGGCCGACACUGACGCUGAGGCGCGAAAGCCAGGGGAGCAAACGGG
rnacentral:rRNA from 1 species